UUAAAGAUAAACUAUAUAAGUUAUAGGAUUCAUACUCCUAUCAAGAGUGGAAACUCUCUUUAAA
rnacentral:tRNA from 2 species